GAUGAACGCUGGCGGCGUGCUUAACACAUGCAAGUCGAGCGAAGCACUCUGUCCGGAUUCUUUCGGGAUGACGGACUUAGUGACUGAGCGGCGGACGGGUGAGUAACGCGUGGGUAACCUGCCUCAUACAGGGGGAUAACAGUUAGAAAUGACUGCUAAUACCGCAUAAGACCACAGUACCGACUAGUACGUACGGUAAACGGGUAAACCGUCCGGGUAGUAGUAGGAAGUAGUACCGGACCCGUCGUCGUAGUAA
rnacentral:rRNA from 1 species